CGCGGUCCUCUCCCCUCGUGUGGGUCUAGUGGACUGGCGACCCGUUUGACCGGACGGUCUGGAACGCCGUAACUUUUAGCUGCAUCGGCCGCGUUUGAUCCAGGUACACACCGAGCCUCUAGCUACAAGGAACUUAGCAAGCAUUCCUAGAUUUAUAUCAACGCGGAAGCCCCGUAGGGCAUGCAGGCUUUUUUUGAACUACAGAAAAGAGCUUGUUCUGAUCAUCGUCAGAGGAGAGAGAGCGGGUGGAACCACAGUUCAGCGACCGGCCAGCAACGGCCCCGCGCACGGGGAGUACACUCCUGGCAAAAAGCCCGAGCAGCACGUGAUGAGAGAUGUGGACUAUUCGGGGCAAACACACACUUCGCGCCUGUUAUAUCCUUCACACACGCCGCUGCGCUCGGUCCCCUUCACCCCGCCCGCUAUCGAUACCUGCCUUUUUUUUCGCACCUGGUCACGCCCGACAAACACACAGGUGGUCAGCUACGCCCUGUUUGCGUGCACGUUUCGAAAACGGCUUCGGCUUUCGAAAGCCCCCACUUCACUGUCGCCCCCAGUUCCAUCUCACCGGGAAGCCUUGCAUUACGAUCCGCCGAUCGUGAAGCUUUCCACGGGGUACUUGGGCCGGCAGUAUAAUAAUAAUAGUAAUACAAGUCCUGGAGACUGACCUGUGCGGCUACGCUGAGCCGCCCUUCGCUACAGUGGAAAACAUGUCACCCAAGUGACAAAACUCCUGUCCCCUCGGCGG
rnacentral:lncRNA from 1 species